UUUCUUUUGCUUUAACAAUUUUCAGACAAGUAUUAAAAUUUCAAGAGAGCUUCCUCCUGGCCACGUGCCCUUAUGGGUUAUUCUGCUGAGUAUAUUCGCUGGACUUCUGAUUCUUACACUACUUAUAUUUGCAUUGUGGAAGGCUGGAUUUUUCAACAGACCAUUAAGAAAGAAAAUGGAGAAAUGAGAAGAAAAAUUCUCAAAGGAAAACUGUAGCAAUUCUACAAUGAUCAGUCCUCAGGUCUUCCUCAGAGAUGUGACUGUAAACAAUUGUUUUGUGGUCAUCACAUUUUUUCCUCCACAUCCACAGAGAAUACCUAACAUGUAAAGAAAAGAAAACUGACAAAUCAAAGGGAAAGCAUGGGUGGUACAGGGAGGACACUUUUUUUCUAUUCUUCUGACAUGGGAAAGAAUGAAAGAUCAAUGCAUAUUGUCCCAUGUGACGGAGUGUGUGUGGGGGAAGGGGAGGGGGCUUCAUUUUAAAAUGGAAAUACAAACUGCUUUUAAAAUUGGGAGCAUUUUAAAAACAGUUUGCGAUAAUGCCAGGAUAGGAAUGUGGGGUAGGGGGUGGGGUACUAAUUAAAGAAACGUUUUUUAAAAAUCACACUAUUUGGCUGCAGUCUUAGCACAUUUAUGAUUGCUUUUAAAGCACUACUUGAAUGCUGCCAUCACCAGUGCAUUUUCAUAUAAACAAGUUCUACUGAAUUCAGUAGAGUGAACUGUAUCUCGCAAUAAGAGAUUUGGCUGUCAGCUUGUAAUGUGCAUGGUAAACCUGUCUUCAUAAACGUGUCCUUUCACUGUUCUGAGAUGGAGCUGCAGGGUGUGAAAACUCUCAGUUUCCUUCUUAUUUUUAAUAAGUAAACAUUCAAAGCUUGGUACAUGACUAAUCUUGUAUUCCACCUCUUGGAUAAGCUAUUAGUUUGAGCAAUAAGAAUGUUUACCUGGAAAAUAAAACCUCUGAGUGUUAUCAAAUACAUGAUUAAAUACA